rnacentral:tRNA from 1 species
AGAUUAACAGGCGAAAAUAAGAACUUCUAAUUCUUACAGGGGGGUUCAACUCCUCCGUAAUCUC